rnacentral:rRNA from 1 species
AACGAACGCUGGCGGCAGGCCUAACACAUGCAAGUCGAGCGCCCUUUCGGGGGAGCGGCGGACGGGUGAGUAACGCGUGGGAAUAUGCCCUUCUCUACGGAAUAGCCUCGGGAAACUGAGAGUAAUACCGUAUACGCCCUGUGGGGGAAAGAUUUAUCGGGGAAGGAUUAGCCCGCGUUGGAUUAGGUAGUUGGUGGGGUAAUGGCCUACCAAGCCGACGAUCCAUAGCUGGUUUGAGAGGAUGAUCAGCCACACUGGGACUGAGACACGGCCCAGACUCCUACGGGAGGCAGCAGUGGGGAAUCUUAGACAAUGGGAGCAACCCUGAUCUAGCCAUGCCGCGUGAGUGAUGAAGGCCUUAGGGUUGUAAAGCUCUUUCAGCUGGGAAGAUAAUGACGGUACCAGCAGAAGAAGCCCCGGCUAACUCCGUG